rnacentral:snRNA from 1 species
GUGCUCGCUUCGGCAGCAUAUAUACUAAAAUUGGAACGAUACAGAGAAGAUUAACAUGGCCCCUGCGAAAGGAUGACACGCAAAGCUUUCAAACGUGUUU